GUGGGGAAUUUUGGACAAUGGGCGCAAGCCUGAUCCAGCAAUGCCGCGUGCAGGAAGAAGGCCUUCGGGUUGUAAACUGCUUUUGUACGGAACGAAACGGUCCUGGCUAAUAUCCGGGGCUAAUGACGGUACCGUAAGAAUAAGCACCGGCUAACUACGUGCCAGCAGCCGCGGUAAUACGUAGGGUGCGAGCGUUAAUCGGAAUUACUGGGCGUAAAGCGUGCGCAGGCGGUGCUGUAAGACAGGCGUGAAAUCCCCGGGCUCAACCUGGGAAUUGCGCUUGUGACUGCAGUGCUGGAGUGCGGCAGAGGGGGAUGGAAUUCCGCGUGUAGCAGUGAAAUGCGUAGAUAUGCGGAGGAACACCGAUGGCGAAGGCAAUCCCCUGGGCCUACACUGACGCUCAUGCACGAAAGCGUGGGGAGCAAACAGGAUUAGAAACCCUAGUAGUCC
rnacentral:rRNA from 1 species